rnacentral:hammerhead_ribozyme from 1 species
AUCUAGUUGACGAGUUACAAAUAGGAUGAAACACGUGUCUUGGAU